UAGAGAUUACAUUAUUCUCUUCCGCUGCUACACUCACCGUGUUACUGUACUCUGAAGUUAUGUGGCAAGGAAUUCUUUGGGAUUAACAGUCGCAUGUGUAUGUAGAAGAAAAUCGUAUGCCAGAACUAAGACUUUGAUAUGCGGAGAACCGGGAAUAUUAUUCAUAGAAUAAUGGAUAAUUAUUCAAGACAUGGUGGAAUACAAUCUGAAUUGGAACAGUUUUCAAUCGAAGUGCUGCAUAGAAGGAUACCAAGCUCUGUUUGUGGACUGUUUACAAUCGAUGGCUCUCUUGUAACAUCGAUUGUUCGAUCAACGAUUACGUAUUUGGUUAUCCUGAUUCAGUGCCAUUAUAACCUCGAUGCGACUUAAUAAAUUCAACAUAUGCUCAAAAUGGACACCCUUAAAAGCCUAACCC